UACAGAGGAGCCAAGCGUUGUCCGGAUUGACUGGGCGUAAAGCGCACGCAGGCGGUUGCGCGCGUGGGGUGUGAAAUCUGGCCGCUUAACGGCCAGGCGCCAUCCCAUACGGCGCGACUGGAGUGAUGCAGAGGUCGAUGGAAUUGCCGGUGUAGUGGUGAAAUGCGUAGAGAUCGGGAGGAAUACCUGUGGCGAAGGCGGCCUACUGGGCCGGACCUGACGCUGAGGAGG
rnacentral:rRNA from 1 species